rnacentral:lncRNA from 1 species
AGAUCUUCUGGAUGGAAAAUCUUCGGCUUAACUUUUGCAUUAUAAUAUCGGACUACUCUUUGCCGAUAUACUGUCAUCCAAACUUGAGCUUGCUGUCGAAUUUCUGAAAGUAGAUCUAAAUCAGCUCUCCGAUAUUCUGAAUUGCUCGGCUCACUAUAUUGUUCCACCCUCACUGAUGGUAAUCCGAUCUUAAGUGGGAUCAUAUUUUCUGUUCUAUAUAUCAGGUUGAAUGACGAUCCGCCUGUUGGUAUGUGAGAAGUUGUUCGAUAUGCCCAUA